rnacentral:rRNA from 1 species
UACGUAGGGUGCGAGCGUUGUCCGGAAUUACUGGGCGUAAAGGGCUCGUAGGCGGCCAACUAAGUCCGACGUGAAAUCCCAAAGCUUAACUUUGGAACUGCGUCGGAUACUGGAUGGCUUGAAUUCGGGAGAGGGAUGCAGAAUUCCAGGUGUAGCGGUGAAAUGCGUAGAUAUCUGGAGGAAUACCGGUGGCGAAGGCGGCAUCCUGGACCGACAUUGACGCUGAGGAGCGAAAGCUAGGGGAGCAAACGGG